rnacentral:lncRNA from 1 species
UUUCUCCCAAGCAUUCAUCUUCAUUUCCAAGUGAAUGAAAGGGGAGUUCAGUGGUACCACUGUCUGUGAGGCAGUGUUAAUAGUUCAGCCAGGAAAACAACUGGACAAAUGACUGGAGGGAUGUGAAAAUCUAACAUAAAGAAAGGCUUUUAAUAUGUCAAUGUGGAGUACUCAGAGAUUAAUACAAUUGGUUGGUCAAGAAGCAGCCAUUGGGGCCUGGAGAGAUGGCAAGGCCCACAGGAGGAUCUGAGGUAGAAUUCCAAGCAUCUAUGUAAAAUUCCAGCAGUGGGAUAAUUUCCUGAUACAGAAGCCAGGGAACAUAUAUUUAAUUUAAACAAAGAAGCAGAUACCCGGGGUUUUGAAAGUCCGGAGUAACAUUUACAUUAAUGGAAAGUACUACUUGAACAUGGAAGCACUAACGUGUGGGUAAGGAAUAGUCAAGAUGUCUGCCAAGAGAGAUUCUAGCUGCUUUGGUUUUAGAUCCCAGGACUACAUGGAAACACUUGGCUUGGUAACUGUACCUUCAGAGUGGUCAGCCCACAUUUAUGGAAAGCUACUCCUUCAUUAAAGUGAAUACUGACAGGAGGAAAGGAAACUGCUGCUUGAAUCAUGUACCUUCAUCAAAGAGCAAGGAAGAGCCCAGUCGGAAGAAGCCUCCUUGUCCUGCCAGAACGAGGGGGAAAGUCUUUUUUAGCGCU